rnacentral:rRNA from 1 species
AUUGAACGCUGGCGGCAUGCCUUACACAUGCAAGUCGAACGGCAGCACGGGAGCAAUCCUGGUGGCGAGUGGCGAACGGGUGAGUAAAGUAUCGGAACGUGCCCAGUCGUGGGGGAUAACGUAGCGAAAGUUACGCUAAUACCGCAUACGAUCUAUGGAUGAAAGCGGGGGAUCGCAAGACCUCGCGCGAUUGGAGCGGCCGAUAUCAGAUUAGGUAGUUGGUGGGGUAAAGGCUCACCAAGCCGACGAUCUGUAGCUGGUCUGAGAGGACGACGAGCGACACAGGGACUGAGACACGGCCCAGACUCCUACGGGAGGCAGCAGGGGGGAAUUUUGGACAAUGGGCGAAAGCCUGAUCCAGCCAUGCCGCGUGCAGGAUGAAGGCCUUCGGGUUGUAAACUGCUUUUGUACGGAACGAAAAGGUUUGGCCUAAUAAGCUGAGCUCAUGACGGUACCGUAAGAAUAAGCACCGGCUAACUACGUGCCAGCCGCCGCCGUAA